rnacentral:rRNA from 1 species
AACAGGAUUAGAUACCCUGGUAGUCCACCCCGUAAACGUUGGGAACUAGUUGUGGGGACCAUUCCACGGUUUCCGUGACGCAGCUAACGCAUUAAGUUCCCCGCCUGGGGAGUACGGCCGCAAGGCUAAAACUCAAAGGAAUUGACGGGGACCCGCACAAGCGGCGGAGCAUGCGGAUUAAUUCGAUGCAACGCGAAGAACCUUACCAAGGCUUGACAUAUACGAGAACGGGCCAGAAAUGGUCAACUCUUUGAACACUCGUAAACAGGUGGUGCAUGGUUGUCGUCAGCUCGUGUCGUGAGAUGUUGGGUUAAGUCCCGCAACGAGCGCAACCCUCGUUCUAUGUUGCCAGCACGUAAUGGUGGGAACUCAUGGGAUACUGCCGGGGUCAACUCGGAGGAAGGUGGGGAUGACGUCAAAUCAUCAUGCCCCUUAUGUCUUGGGCUUCACGCAUGCUACAAUGGCCGGUACAAAGGGCUGCAAUACCGUAAGGUGGAGCGAAUCCCAAAAAGCCGGUCCCAGUUCGGAUUGAGGUCUGCAACUCGACCUCAUGAAGUCGGAGUCGCUAGUAAUCGCAGAUCAGCAACGCUGCGGUGAAUACGUUCCCGGGUCUUGUACACACCGCCCGUCAAGUCAUGAAAGUCGGUAACACCUGAAGCCGGUGGCCCAACCCUUGUGGAGGGAGCCGUCGAAGGUGGGAUCGGUAAUUAGGACUAAGUCGUAACAAGGUA